AGAGAAAAUUGCAUAAAUCCAAAUGGCUUUGCUUCAGGAGAAAAUUAUUGCAUGGAAGCUGAAUGGUUCAAAUACUAGGUGCUUGGGACUCAAGAAGAGUUGGUGGUGAAUCGGCUGAGCAAAGGGUGAAGGUGAAGAUCAUUAGAUGUUCCAGCACUGGCGGAGACUGUUGGGGUUGUGUAACUGUGCCUGGAGGGGCGGGGUUUCCUGUACAUUCCUACCUCACUGAAUAACCUGCGCUCAACUCUACUCCAGUUUACUCCCAAACAGACUGGACCCUUCACUUAAGAAAAAUGAGCACAGCCAUCUCACCUAACAGGGGUAGGUGAAACUUAAAAGAAAAAUAUUCCUCUUUCAUUACCCGAUUUCUGAUGUGGAGAGAAAAAAAGACAGCCACCUCUCUCUCUCUCUCUCUCUCUCUCUCUCUCUCUCUCUCUCUCUCUCUCUCUCUCUCUCUCUCUCUCUCUCUCUCUCUCUCUCUCUCUCUCUCUCUCUCUCUCUCUCUCUCCCCCCUUCCUUUGUACCCCCCUCACAUGCACACCCCAUUUUCAUCCCCCCUUCCCUAAUUUCUGCAGACAUAGCAAGGGUGUAGAUGUCUCCACCACCUUAUCUUCCAGUUAUUUCGUGGUGUGAGAAAUGAUUUCCCUUUUUCCAGGACUCCUAUCACUAUCCCAGUUUUCGUGCCUGUACCUCUCCAUCCCGGGUAAAUUAGUCUAGCGCUUUCUUAUUCUUCCCUAAAGUCUAGUUGAUGGUCAAUUCUAGCUUUUGGUGUCGUGGGUGAAGUUUAUGGACUCCCAGGGAGUAGGGGGUGGUGGGGAGAUGGGAGUGUUAACUUGAGUGGUGAUGAAGUAUGUAUGAAUGCCCGCUUUUCUUUUCCCACUCUUCCCAUUUCUAUUUAUCUUUCCAAGACGCUGUGAGGCAUGGACCGCAAAUCACUGGCAUAAACAUUCCGGGCUCUGACUGUCCCUUACCCACCGAAUCGAUGUUUUGCAGGCAAUACAGGUGCUACCUGGCAAACUGGAUGGGGAGUCCUCAGGAGCUCCUUGAUUGGAAGCACCAAAGAGAAGACUUGGAUGAACCUUUAAUUUUGUGCUUUAAUUCAUAUUAUUGCUCCUGACAAGACAAGUGCUACAUUGAAGCUCUGAACAGAAUUCUUCAUUGGUUAGAACUAUGAAAAUUGAUCAUAUGAUUAUUCACUUCCCAUCAAAGGAUACCUACUCUUUACAUUGGUUUUCUUCAUAUCAACCAGAGUUUAAAACCAAAAGAAACUCCAAUACAAUGGAAAUUAGUUGGAACUGCCCAGAAAGUCCAGACGGGAAAAAAAAAAAGACAUCUCCAUUCCUGGUGCAUCAGUUAUCUGAGAAAAUUGCUUCAAAUUAUUUUUUCUAGUAUAUCUGAGUUUGUUUUUUCUCUUACUCAUCUUUCAGAGUCAUGAUUCGCUUCAUUAAAUUGUAUAGUCAGAUAUUAUCAUCAUGUGAAUCUAUUGUAUAUCACAAAUUUGUUUUAUUUUUCUCACUGCUUUUAAAGAUAAGGGAAUAAUUAAAAAAAGGAAAA
rnacentral:lncRNA from 1 species